rnacentral:lncRNA from 1 species
CCCCCACCUCUCUCAAACCGUGGAAUCCUGGGCCCUGUCCAGAAUACCUGUGCUUCUGGGGAGCCUGCACCUUUGCCUGCUGACCCAGGCUGUCUGCUGGUUGAGGCCACAGCUACUGAAGAGGGUCCAGGGAACAUGGAGAUCAUUGUGGAAGCAGUAGCUGGAACUCUGUCCCCAGGAGCUCCUGGAGAGACCUCAGCAUCAACGGAGCCAUGGAGCCAGUACACGGGGAGAACUUUCUGCUGUUCAGGGCCUUCCAUCACAGGAGCUACUGCCAGCUGCCAAACUGCCUCCAGGAGACAGAGAACCUUCUGAGGAAGCAGGUGCGCCUUUGCCUGGGCAGGAGUCAGCUGAAGAAGAGGAUGUAGAGGAGGAGGAGAAUGUUGCCCAAAAAGACUCCCAGAAAGUCUUGGAUAAAAGCCAAGGGGCUCAGCAGUUGGAAGGGCAUGUGGCUUCAGGCACUGAGUCUCUCUUCAAGACACACAUGUGCCCAGAAUGCAAACGCUGCUUUAAGAAGCGGACCCAUUUGGUAGAGCACCUAC